UUCUAUAAAUAUAUAUAUGUACAUAUUUGUGCCUAUUGAUUGUCUAUAGUCUGAUUACUUUGAAGAAAUAAGAAUUUCUAUUUAAUGACACAUUUGGUAUAUAUAUAUUGUUAUUAGCUUGUUGUUGUCUCGUCUGUUUGGGAGUAUUUCAUGGCAUAAAUUGCAUGUAUAGACACUGUGAGAUUAAUAGACUUAACUGGUUGUGAGUUUAGGCACCUAAGGGAUGGCUUGUACUAGUUGGCUAAAAGCUAAUUUAAUCAUAGUUAUGCCCAGCUAGUUGUUAGUUACCAAUUCUCUCUUUUAUUUUGUUUAUGUUUUUCUAUAUGCUUGUGUGAAUAUAGUGGUUUGAUCUGAAAGAUUUUUUGUCUUAUUUUGUGUUUGAUUUUUAGUAUCUAGCUUCUGUUCUGCUUCUACUUCUGGGGGUCUCUACUAUUGGAGUACCAAGCUUGCUGGCCCAAAAUGGUCACCAUUUGCUUCAUGGAUAACUGGCUGGAGAAAAAUGUCUCUUUCCCCAUCAAUUGGAGGAGAAAAGGAUACUUAAUUUUGAAGGCUUUGUGUUGGGCAGCUGUAGAAUAUUUUGUGCUGAAAGUAGUAACUUUUCAAUAUGUUGAAUAUUUAAGACUACUGGAAUACUUAAAGAACAUUUUGUUGUUGAUGACAGUGUUGAAUGUUUUAAACUAAUUUGUGGAUUGUUAAUACAAUGUUGAAUGUUUUUAA